rnacentral:piRNA from 1 species
CAACGCAUGCUCUACUACUG